UGUUCAGCCUAUGCAGAGGUGCUGUACAGAGAUGAGUGGCUUUGAACUUCCUUUGUCAGAGUUGACUGUGCAGCAGAAACACCCAGGGUGCUUCCUAAAAAAAUGACAGAACCGGCCAUCUCAAAGGACUAGAACCAUAUGGGAUGGAUCCAGGAACAGCCCCUGGGGACAAUUAUUCGUCCUUUAGUGACUCUGAAAUGACUGCUGCUGAAGCUGAGGCCUGUGGGGCUUCACCUGCUCUCUAGUGGACAUGAACACACACAAUCUGUAUUAUAGGACAUGAGGUGCAGACCCGUCUUGAUUUAGUUGAUUUUAUGUAGCGAGCCCUAAUUCUGAAAGAUCACUAUGGCAGACUCUGAAAAGUUAAGUUGGGAAACAGAAGCUGUGGGGAUGCACAGGCUCCUUUCAAUGGGCCUAGUUCAGGGGAAGAACCCAGGCUGUGUCUGACCCAGGGGUUAGCAUUCAUUCCAGGCAGCCUGUGACCCAGGGGUUAGCACUCAUCCCAGGUGGCCUGUGACCCAAGAGUUAGCACUCCUCAUCCCUGUGAUCCUGAAGCUGUGCUGAACACACCCCCUUCCCAGUCUUCUGUUGUGUGGCUUCCAUGCAGCUCCUCUUCAGGUUGCCUUUGGUAGAAGCUGACAUACCUGGAUGUAAUGAUUAUUGCAGCCACUCGACGCCACGGCUAGAAUCUGAGGCUGGAAUCUGAGACUCAGGUUUGCCCAAGUGGGCUGGAGAGAGAAGCUAGGCAUUUGACUCAAGCACAGAUGACAUGUGACACAGCAGUAUUGUCCCAGUGAUCACCGAAAGUAUUCAUUUGGUUUUUGGCUAUUGAAUUCUACAAUAUUGAGAACAUUAAUCCUUUGUGAGAUUAUAUGCUCUGCGAAUAUUUUCUCUCACUUCCUAUACUGGCCUUUCUUGUUGAAUGUAUACCUUAUAGAACCUUCUCUAGUCUGAUGUGAUCUCCCUUGUAUAUAUAUAUAUAUUUUUUCUUCUUCAUGACCAAGGCAAUGAGCCUUGUCAAACAGCCCUUUUCUUAUGUUUUCUUCUAGUGGUUUUACAGCUUUUGUCUUACAUUGAAGACUUUGAUGUAAGUGCCCCACCUCAUUCUCUCGUCUGUGGGUCCCCAGGUUCCCAGGACCAUUUCUGGAAGAGACUACCCUUCCCACUCUCUGUGAAGUGCCCUCAUUCCUGACUGACAUUACCAUUAGCUGCUUUCUUCUGCUCUGUUCUGUUUGAUGGUCUGUGUGUCUGCUAUGGCGCCAGUGCUGGGCUGUUCCGAUUGCUUUGGCUUUAAAUACAGUUAAAAACCAAGAACAUUGAUGCCUCCAACUUUGCUGUUCUUUUUAAUGCGUGGUUUGUCAUUUGUGCAAAUAAUCAGAGUAAACAUGGGCUUGAGAUGGUUUCUGUUUGUUGUGAACGCGAGGAAACCCAAUCACCGCAGAGGUGGGCUUCUGGGCCUGGCUAUGGGGAUUGAUCUGAUUGGAUUAAUGAGGUAGGGGAAUCUGCUCACUACAGUGGUACCAGCCUCUGGCUAGGGAUCCUGAGCUCCACAAAAUGAGGAAAGAGAGCUGAGCUCACACAUCCAUCCAUCUCUGCUUCUUUACUGUGGAUAAAGUGUGAGCGACUGCUUCAAGCUCUUACAGCCUGGGCUUCUCCUCCAUGGUGGACUGACUGUAGCUUGAGCUGUGAGCCCAGAUAACCCCUUUUCUUCCUUGAGUUGAUUUUUUUUUUUCAGUAUUUUAACAAAGAGAUAGGAAAAGACACUAAGAUGGGGCCUGAAUGCCAGUUUAUGCUAAGCACACAUCCAGCCAACAGGAAGAGCAAUAGGUGAAUUCCAUCCCUAAUCACUGCGGACAGAGAAAUCUCGACCACCUAGUGCUGCCAUUACAUGCUUGUAAGGGCGUCUGUUUCCAAAAACAAUAAGAAACAACAAUAACG
rnacentral:lncRNA from 1 species